rnacentral:rRNA from 1 species
CAAUAGCGUAUAUUUAAGUUGUUGCAGUUAAAAAGCUCGUAGUUGGAUUUCGGAUGGGACUUGCCGGUCCGUCGUUUCGAUGUGCACUGGCCAGUCCUAUCUUGUUGUCGGGGACUAGCUCCUGGGCUUCACUGUCCGGGACUAGGAGCUGACGAGGUUACUUUGAGUAAAUUAGAGUGUUCAAAGCAAGCCUACGCUCUGAAUACAUUAGCAUGGAAUAACACGAUAGGACUCUGGCUUAUCUUGUUGGUCUGUGAGACCAGAGUAAUGAUUAAGAGGGACAGUCGGGGGCAUUCGUAUUUCAUUGUCAGAGGUGAAAUUCUUGGAUUUAUGAAAGACGAACCUCUGCGAAAGCAUUUGUCAAGGAUGUUUUCAUUAA